rnacentral:rRNA from 1 species
AUUGAACGCUGGCGGCAGGCCUAACACAUGCAAGUCGAACGAGUGGCGGACGGGUGAGUAAUGUCUGGGAAACUGCCUGAUGGAGGGGGAUAACUACUGGAAACGGUAGCUAAUACCGCAUACCAUCGGAUGUGCCCAGAUGGGAUUAGCUAGUCGGUGGGGUAAAGGCUCACCUAGGCGACGAUCCCUAGCUGGUCUGAGAGGAUGACCAGCGACACUGGAACUGAGACAAGGUCCAGACGCCUACGGGAGGAAGCAGUGGGGAAUAUUGCACAAUGGGCGCAAGCCUGAUGCAGCCAUGCCGCGUGUAUGAAGAAGGCCUUCGGGUUGUAAAGUACGUUCAGCGGGGAGGCGUUACACGCAGAAGAAGCACCGGCUAACUCCGUGCCAGCAGCCGCGGUAAUUC